AUACGUAGGGGGCAAGCGUUGUCCGGAAUUAUUGGGCGUAAAGAGUACGUAGGCGGCCUGUUAAGUCUGAUGUGAAAUCCCGCGGCUUAACCGCGGAGGGUCAUUGGAAACUGGCAGGCUUGAGUACGGCAGGGGUAAGUGGAACUCCAAGUGGAGCGGUGAAAUGCGUAGAUAUUUGGAGGAACACCAGUGGCGAAGGCGGCUUACUGGGCCGGAACUGACGCUGAGGUACGAAAGCGUGGGGAGCAAACAGGAUUAGAUACCCUGGUAGUCCACGCCGUAAACGAUGAGCACUAAGUGUCGGAUAUAAAUUCGGCGCUGUAGUUAACACAUUAAGUGCUCCGCCUGGGGAGUACGGUCGCAAGACUGAA
rnacentral:rRNA from 1 species